UACGAAGGGAGCGAGCGUUAUUCGGAAUCACUGGGCGUAAAGAGCGUGUAGGCGGCUAAUUAAGUCAGUUGUUAAAUUCCUUGGCUCAACUAAGGACGCGCAUCUGAAACUGAUUAUGCUAGAGUGCAGAAGAGAGAAGUGGAAUUAUCGGAGUAGCGGUAAAAUGCGUAGAUCUCGAUAGGAACACCAAUAGCGAAGGCAGCUUCUUGGUCUGUGUCUGACGCUGAUGCGCGAAAGCGUGGGGAGCAAACAGG
rnacentral:rRNA from 1 species